rnacentral:rRNA from 1 species
CGACGUAGGUAACCUGCCUGGUAGCGGGGGGUAACUAUUGGAAACGAUAGCUAAUACCGCAUAAUAUUAAUUAUUGCAUGAUAAUUAAUUGAAAGGUGCAAUUGCACCACUACCAGAUGGACCUGCGUUGUAUUAGCUAGUAGGUGAGGUAACGGCUCACCUAGGCGACGAUACAUAGCCGACCUGAGAGGGUGAUCGGCCACACUGGGACUGAGACACGGCCCAG